GACCCUUCUUUAAAUACAUGGGUAUCCAGCAGUUUGCGCUUCUAGUGACAGAAAGAAAGCGCUUUUGGAAUUUGGGGUGGAAAAAAUCUAAUCGACUCCUUCUGGAUUGAGGAGAAAUCAAGCUGCCCUCUUCUUUUUUAGUAAGUCAACAGAAUCAUGGAUGCAAGUGCUCAAGUAAUCUGUGGCAAAAGCCAGAAGCUGGAAACAGAAGAGGGAAGGAAUUUAAUCAGAAAUAUACCAGAUGUUAUUCUCUUUCCUCCCAAUGAAAGAUGCUGUCAUAGCAUAUUAUCUAAAAGAUGGAAAAACCUAUGGAUGUCGGUCCCCAAUCUGGACUUUGAAGAAGAAGGCAUAUUUGGUGACAGGGUGCAUUUCAUGAAUUUUGUCGAAAGAGUUAUGAUGCUUUGUAAUUUCUCAGAUAUAAGGAACUUCUCCCCUCAUGUGAUGCGCACUCUGAUGCAUCUCACAUUAAUACAUGGAUCUUUGCUGCACUGUGUUGCAAAUUUCAAGAAUUGAAACAUGACCUUUACCAAUACAAUGCAAACGAGUCAUUAUUA